AGAGUUUGAUCCUGGCUCAGGAUGAACGCUGGCGGCGUGCUUAACACAUGCAAGUCGAACGGAGUUAUCAUUUCAGAAGCAAUUAGCUUGCUAAGAGUGGAAGAGAGGAUAACUUAGUGGCGGACGGGUGAGUAACGCGUGGGGAACCUGCCCUGCACCGGGGGAUAACACCUGGAAACAGGUGCUAAUACCGCAUAAGCGCACGAGGCCGCAUGGCCAGGUGUGAAAAACUAAGGUGGUGCAGGAUGGACCCGCGUCUGAUUAGCUUGUUGGUAGGGUAACGGCCUACCAAGGCGACGAUCAGUAGCCGGCCUGAGAGGGUGAACCGCCACAUUGGGACUGAGACACGGCCCAAACUCCUACGGGAGGCAGCAGUGGGGAAUAUUGGACAAUGGGGGAAACCCUGAUCCAGCGACGCCGCGUGAGUGAAGAAGUAUUUCGGUAUGUAAAGCUCUAUCAGCAGGGAAGAAAAUGACGGUACCUGACUAAGAAGCCCCGGCUAACUACGUGCCAGCAGCCGCGGUAAUACCUAGGGGGCAAGCCGUAUCCGGAUUUACUGGGUGUAAAGGGAGCCGUAGACGGCCUAAGCAAGCCUGAGGUGAAAGAUCCGGGGCUCCACCCCGGGCCCUGCUUGGAAAACUGUUAAGCUGGAGAUCAGGAUAGGUAAGCGGAAUUCCCAGUGUAGCGGGGAAAUGCGUAUAUUUUUAGGAGGGAACCCUGUGGCGAAGGCGGCUUUUUGGACUGGAAUUGACUUUGAGGGCUCAAAACCGGGGGGAGCCAAACCAGGAUUUAAAUCCCCUUGGUACUCCCCCCC
rnacentral:rRNA from 1 species